GGAAAGGUCUAGGGGGUAUGGCUGUGUCUCAUUAGAGGGACACAUGGAGUUGUGCAGUCUCUCUACAGGGCUGGAAGCUGUUUCCCUCCACCUAUAGUCUGAAUGUGACAAUUAGUCAGAUGUGUCCCGUUAAUAUUAAGUCAUGCCAUUGACAAUAAGUGUUAGUUAAUCAAGAAUAAUAUAUAGUAUGUACUAUACUUAGAGAAGUGUAAAGAGAUUUGGGUAACACUUUAUUUGAAGGGGUGUGCAUAAGACUGACAUGUCACUGUCAUAAAUAUGACAUAACUGUCAGGGUUCCUGUGUGUGUGUGAGUGAUCCAUCUGUUCCAGCGAAGAUCUUGGUGAAGAACCUGGGCAGCCUACACAGGUGGAUCUCAUCUGCCUCAUCAGUGUUGGGGAUAAAGGAGCAGCAGAACAUUCGCUCAGUGCUGGAUGAUUAACGUGCACCGGUCAGUCUCUGGAGUUUCAACUGGAUCAAGUUCCAUUGUUUUCUCCUCCUGAGGAUUUUACCUCCAAGUCUGCCUGCCCGCUGCUCCCUCCACACCUCUCCAUCAAUUCUCCGGCUCCCAGUCAAUACCAUCCUCACUCUUCUCAGGAACCUCCGUGAACCAUUUUCCACACUGGACCUUGGCACAUUCCCCCAUGCCUCAACCAGAAUCAUUCUAAAGCACCUCCGAUUGCACGACACUAUCGCCCCCAGAAGGAUUAAGAAGAAUUGCCUUUAAGUUGUCUGUCUUUAAGAAAAUAAAAUCCUUACAUUUACUUAGGCUUGUUGAUUUUGCAUGUGGGUCAGAAGGUUAAAGCCGAACAUGGCAGAAUCAUCCAGCCAAGUUGACCCAGCAGAAUCUACUCCUGACCCCAAUUUAGAUCAUGCUGUACUGGUCCGUCAUGACUCAAUGCUGCACUCUUUAUACGAUCAACAAACGAAUACUAACCAGCGUUUAGAUCAAUUUGCAGGAAUGCUUAAGGAGCUUCACCAAAAGCUUGUUUCUGCUAGUCCUCCUCCCGCUGUAGGGCCACCUCCUGCCGCAGAUCCACUCCCUCCUCAGGCCAGCGCUUCCGCCAGUCCUGCACAAAGUCCUCCAGCGUCCGUUCGUCUCAGAGAGGUCUCCCCACCCACACCUGAGCCCUAUUCUGGUGAGAUAGGUAAAUGUGGGGGGUUUUUAUUGCAAUGCUCUUUAGUUUUUUCUUUUUCACCCCAAAGCUUUCAAACGGAUGCUGCAAAGAUAUCGUACGUUAUUGGUUUGUUAAGGGGAAGAGCGCUAAAAUGGGCGGAG